AGUGAACGCUGGCGGCGUGCUUAACACAUGCAAGUCGAACGAGAACGGGUUAUAGCUUGCUAUAAUUGUCAGCUAAGUGGCGCACGGGUGAGUAAUGUAUAGGUAAUAUGCCUCUUACUAAGGGAUAGCAAAUGGAAACGUUUGCUAAUACCUUAUACUCCUUAUUAACAGAAGUUAAUAAGGGAAAGAUUUAUUGGUAAGAGAUUAGCCUGUAUUGUAUCAGUUAGUUGGUGGGGUAAUGGCUUACCAAGACUAUGACACAUAACUGGUUUGAGGAUGAUCAGUCACACUGGAACUGAGACACGGUCCAGACUCCUACGGGAGGCAGCAGUGGGGAAUAUUGCACAAUGGACGAAAGUCUGAUGCAGCAACGCCGCGUGGAGGAUGACACAUUUCGGUGCGUAAACUCCUUUUAUAUGAGAAGAUAAUGACGGUAUUAUAUGAAUAAGCACCGGCUAACUCCGUGCCAGCAGCCGCGGUAA
rnacentral:rRNA from 1 species